GGUGUAAGCUGUACAUAAUCCCC
rnacentral:misc_RNA from 1 species